GACGAACGCUGGCGGCGUGCUUAACACAUGCAAGUCGAGCGGUAAGGCCCUUUCGGGGGUACACGAGCGGCGAACGGGUGAGUAACACGUGGGUGACCUGCCCUCAGCUCUGGGAUAAGCCUGGGAAACCGGGUCUAAUACCGGAUAUGACUCCAUGACGCAUGUUGUGGGGUGGAAAGCCUUGUGCGGCUGAGGAUGGGCCCGCGGCCUAUCAGCUUGUUGGUGGGGUGAUGGCCUACCAAGGCGACGACGGGUAGCCGGCCUGAGAGGGCGACCGGCCACACUGGGACUGAGACACGGCCCAGACUCCUACGGGAGGUAGCAGUGGGGAAUCUUGCGCAAUGGGCGAAAGCCUGACGCAGCGACGCCGCGUGAGGGAUGACGGCCU
rnacentral:rRNA from 1 species